AGAUAAUAGAUACCCGGGUAGUCCAUGCCGUAAACGUUGGGAACUAGGUGUGGGUCUCAUUCCACGAGAUCCGUGCCGCAGCUAACGCAUUAAGUUCCCCGCCUGGGGAGUACGGCCGCAAGGCUAAAACUCAAAGGAAUUGACGGGGGCCCGCACAAGCGGCGGAGCAUGCGGAUUAAUUCGAUGCAACGCGAAGAACCUUACCAAGGCUUGACAUACACCGGAAACAUCCAGAGAUGGGUGCCCCGCAAGGUCGGUGUACAGGUGGUGCAUGGUUGUCGUCAGCUCGUGUCGUGAGAUGUUGGGUUAAGUCCCGCAACGAGCGCAACCCUCGUUCUAUGUUGCCAGCACGUGAUGGUGGGGACUCAUAGGAGACUGCCGGGGGUCAACUCGGAGGAAGGUGGGGAUGACGUCAAAUCAUCAUGCCCCUUAUGUCUUGGGCUUCACGCAUGCUACAAUGGCCGGUACAAAGGGCUGCGAAACCGUGAGGUGGAGCGAAUCCCAAAAAACCGGUCUCAGUUCGGAUUGGGGUCUGCAACUC
rnacentral:rRNA from 1 species